rnacentral:rRNA from 1 species
GACCUCAAAUCAGGUAGGACUACCCGCUGAACUUAAGCAUAUCAAUAAGCGGAGGAAAAGAAACUAACAAGGAUUCCCCUAGUAACUGCGAGUGAAGCGGGAAAAGCUCAAAUUUAAAAUCUGGCGGUCUUUUGGCUGUCCGAGUUGUAAUCUAGAGAAGUGCUAUCCGCGCUGGACCGUGUACAAGUCUCCUGGAAUGGAGCAUCAUAGAGGGUGAGAAUCCCGUCUUUGACAUGGACUGCCAGGGCUUUGUGAUGUGCUCUCAAAGAGUCGAGUUGUUUGGGAAUGCAGCUCAAAAUGGGUGGUAAAUUCCAUCUAAAGCUAAAUAUUGGCGAGAGACCGAUAGCGAACAAGUACCGUGAGGGAAAGAUGAAAAGAACUUUGGAAAGAGAGUUAAACAGUACGUGAAAUUGCUGAAAGGGAAACGCUUGAAGUCAGUCGCGUCAUCCAGGGAUCAACCUUGCUUUUGCUUGGUGCACUUUCUGGUUUGAUGGGUCAGCAUCAAUUUUGACCAUUGGAAAAAGGUUAAGGGAAUGUGGCAUCUUUGGAUGUGUUAUAGCCCUUGGUCACAUACAAUGGUUGGGAUUGAGGAACUCAGCACGCCGCAAGGCCGGGUUUAAACCACGU